CGCGUGGGAAUAUGCCCUUCUCUGCGGAAUAGCCUCGGGAAACUGAGAGUAAUACCGCAUACGCCCUUUGGGGGAAAGAUUUAUCGGGGAAGGAUUAGCCCGCGUUGGAUUAGGUAGUUGGUGGGGUAAUGGCCUACCAAGCCGACGAUCCAUAGCUGGUUUGAGAGGAUGAUCAGCCACACUGGGACUGAGACACGGCCCAGA
rnacentral:rRNA from 1 species